rfam:Triticum aestivum genome assembly, contig: Triticum_aestivum_CS42_TGACv1_scaffold_033296_1BL
CACAUACUCCCUCCGUCCGGAAAUACUUGUCGAAUGAAUGGAUUUAUCUAGUCAUAUUUUAGUUUUAGAUGUAUCCAGUUUUAUUCAUUUGUGUGACAAGUAUUUCCGGACGGAGGGAGUACUAG